rnacentral:rRNA from 1 species
UCUUGAGAGCGGCGGACGGGUGAGUAAGCCUAGGAAUCUGCCUGGUAGUGGGGGAUAACGCUCGGAAACGGACGCUAAUACCGCAUACGUCCUACGGGAGAAAGCAGGGGACCUUCGGGCCUUGCGCUAUCAGAUGAGCCUAGGUCGGAUUAGCUAGUUGGUGAGGUAAUGGCUCACCAAGGCGACGAUCCGUAACUGGUCUGAGAGGAUGAUCAGUCACACUGGAACUGAGACACGGUCCAGACUCCUACGGGAGGCAGCAGUGGGGAAUAUUGGACAAUGGGCGAAAGCCUGAUCCAGCCAUGCCGCGUGUGUGAAGAAGGUCUUCGGAUUGUAAAGCACUUUAAGUUGGGAGGAAGGGCAUUAACCUAAUACGUUGGUGUCUUGACGUUACCGACAGAAUAAGCACCGGCUAACUCUGUGCCAGCAGCCGCGGUAAUACAGAGGGUGCAAGCGUUAAUCGGAAUUACUGGGCGUAAAGCGCGCGUAGGUGGUUCGUUAAGUUGGAUGUGAAAUCCCCGGGCUCAACCUGGGAACUGCAUUCAAAACUGACGAGCUAGAGUAUGGUAGAGGGUGGUGGAAUUUCCUGUGUAGCGGUGAAAUGCGUAGAUAUAGGAAGGAACACCAGUGGCGAAGGCGACCACCUGGACUGAUACUGACACUGAGGUGCGAAAGCGUGGGGAGCAAACAGGAUUAGAUACC